GCUCGGGGUUAGGCUGGGCAUCGGUCAGCGGGUGGAAACUGCAUACUUGCUCACUGUGGUCCAAAUCACCUCCCUGGUAAUGGAGCCAGAAGAACCCCAACGAAGAAGUGCAGCAGGAGGAACUGACUGCUACAUCCAGCUCAACCCGCUCCAGCAGCUUAAUGGAUGCACAGCCCACAUGUUACUUGCAAAGUCCCUUCCAACAAGCUUCCUGGAUUAGACCUUCUUCCUCCCAGCUGUGAAACAAAAGAUCGUCAGAUCUUCAAAUCUUCUCACACUGAAACACCAGAAGCUUCAACUUCUGCAGAGCAUGGCUUACACUCUAUUUCAGGGGAAAAUAAGGAUAUAAGGCUGAAGUUGUUCACAGUCAUAGAUAUUUGAAUUUUAGAAGACAAUACAGUAUUUUGCAGGAUGAUGUGUGUCCAGGUACCAUUGUGAUUGUUUUGAAACUUAGAGUGGAUUGAUAGUAAUGCAACUGUGGUGGAUUUAAACCUUUUAGAGUAAAACUGGAGAAUUCACAAGAUGUUCUUGUCAAUGAUGCAGCUGUGACUGUAAAGUUCUUAUCUGAUGAGUAGUGAUAACUCUAAAUUAAAACUCUUAAUUACAAUUCUUUAUUAUAACGUUAUAUAUGAAUGCAUACCAGAAGUAGUUGGUGAGGGAGGAAGAAAAAUCUCUAAGGCUGGUAAGAACUCACAGGUGAAUGUUUUGAAUCCAAAUAUUCCAGGGCAUGUUGUACAUGUUACUCAGUAGCCUGUAUUGGAAAUACUGGGAUAGAGCUGUCUUCUCCAUACACCAUAUUUCACUUAAAUUAGUGAGAUUUUUGCUUCCUUGGCAAAGGCAAGAAUGAGAUCUCGGUGUUUAAGUUGCCAUGGCCAAUGUAAAAAGCAGCAUCUCACUGCAGGUGCAUAGCCAGGUCUCUGCUGAAAUGUGUGCAGUCUAAUGUUAGCAAAAAGGAAAACACUUGUCAUCACUGUCAUUGAUUUGCUGAAGUACAGCAUGAGUGCUUUUCUUCCUUCCUUGAUCUUUCCUACCCAGUGGUGUCAUAUCCGUAACAUCCUCUUCCCCUCUUCUUUCUGAUUACCAGAUAUAAGACUUUUUGAGAAAAAUUCCAUGAUUUUUAACUUCUAAAGAGUCUUCUCUAAUCUAGACUACUAUUGUUAAAAUCUGAAUCAUUCCAAAAGAACAAGCAUCUAAAUUUCUGGGAAGGAAAAAAAAAAAAAAGGUUUCAAACAUGAUAUAUGCAUAGCUUUUUAGCUUUUUAGUUUAUUUCUUCUUUGUCAACAUCUCAGAGAACCAGGCAACUGGUAACAACAGUUGUACACAAGCAGAAAAGUAUUGCCCGCAAGGUAACACAUUCCCUCUCCCUCAAUAUCCCUCUCAAUAGUAUUUUUGUUCAUCAGCUUUACUUCAAUAGUUUAAUUAAAUGGUGGGACCAGAAAAUGAGUGCUGCAACUCUGGAAGGUGAUGCCAUCUCUGCCCCAGUUUCACAAGUAGCCUUACGCGGCAGUUCAUAGAAGAGCAUUAUUCCAUAAGCCUCUGACAAGUUUGCUGCUGCUUCUCACUCCUGCAGCUAUAAACUAUCUCACUCCAGAUAGCUAUAAAUUGGGGAAUGUCUGUGUUCUUUAUUUCCUCUCAGUAGGUGUCUGUAAAUCAAACCCAGCAGGUGUAUCCCCCGUUUUCAUAUGACCCCAACAGUUGGAUGUGUUAAUAGUACUAGCCACUCCAGAUCCCUUUUAAAUGACUGAAUAACAUUGGUGAAACAUUUUAAUUUUUUUCUGUGCUAUAAAUAAACUGCAAUUACCAUAUACAUGGAUUAAGAACAUGUCUCUGGAAAGCCUGCUAAUAAACUCUGUUUCUUGAAAGUUACGUCUUUUGUAUUACUGCCAUGCCUCUGUUUGAUGUCCUUGAAAUCCUGAUGUUAGAAUUCUUUACCUUCCAACAAAUUUGUAAAUUAUUUUUAAAUUUAUUCUAAUUAUUUCUCUAACAUUCCAGUAGUUAUAUACAGGAAUAAGUAUUUAUAACUUUACAGAAUGUGAAUUAGCAUUUGAAUUUUAAAAUAGCUUUUGAUUACCAAAAUGGUUUCAAAGUAAAUUAAAAAAAAAAAAAUAGACGCAGACAGUGUCAUAUAGAUUGUGAGUUCCUAUGUACUUUAAAAUGUAUGAAUUGUGACAUGAUCCAGGGAACUUUGAAACUACAUCAAUUAUUUUGCAUCUGGCAUUGCACACCACCUGCAUACUGAGAGAGCAGAGGGCUUGAUGAUUUUUGAAACUCGUUUCCGUGGAUGGUCACAUGAAUGCAUUGUAUUGUUUUCUAGACAGAUGGAAAGCUAGUAAUGUCCCAGAAUUCAAAUAUGACUUGUAUUGAAUCUUGGUUUAUAUUUUACUUUGUUUGUUUGUUUUGUUAUUUUGGCAUAUUCUGAUAUAUCAAAAGCAGAGCAUUCUUUUCUGAAGAGCAACUUAAAUUAUAUACAUCUAUAUCCUUCCUUCUACAUGCAGUUGGGCUGCCCCAGGGGAAUUGAAAGUAGAAUUUGAUAUAUACUGUCUGAAAGGGCACAUUUUAAUAUCUACAGUUUCAUUGUUUAUUGCGUUUCAAAUAGAUUCUGUAGCCAAAUAAAUUAAUGUAUGCAAACAUUUGGCUCUUUCUAUGUUCUUCAAAUACUUUUA